AGGUUGACUUGAUUUUUUCCCAUCCAUUCUAAUUUUUUUUUUUGGAUAAUUGUGUCUGCAUGUACUUUAGCCAUUUGAUAUUUUUACAUUUUAAUUUGUUUUUGCCUUCUUUGUAGAGAUGCCAGUAGGACAAAGGUGACAUAUGUCAAUACUAGUCCUUGAAUAAUUGAGACAGAAUGGAAAUUAAUGGCAAACAAAUGACGCUUAAAAUAAUGCAGAAUAAGCCAAGGCUUUGUCCAUUUCCUUUGAAAGACAUCCUCCCGAAGGAAGAAUUACUUAUUAAGUAGAUUAUGGAGACCAAACCAAGAAUUCGUGGUGGAGAAUAAAAGGGCCACAACGUAAGGGUUCAUAGAGAAUUUCACCAACUUCCGAACAAUCGAGGCCAUGCAAAAGUUUCAAAGCUUCUCCAUAGUAUGUAGACAGUGGCACCAUUCAGAAGUAAUGGGGAAUGGACUUUGAUGAGAUUGAUCUUCCUGACAAAGGUUGUAGUCCUCUGCCUCAUGAAACAGAAAGUAAAAAGGGCAAGAUCAAAUUCACACCAUGAGGAGUAUCUUUAGGACACCAGUGGUUGAUUGAGGAAAAAGAGUACCAGAAGAAACACUUCAAGAGUAUUAUAUUUUCUGGAAGAACUCCUAGACAGAUACACUUACUGCAAUACAGAAAGCAUCAUUGAAGGGGUUUCCUUGGAAUCAAAUCAAAUACAUUAUAUGCUGUAAAAUAAGACUGCUACUUAAAGGAAAACAUUUCAAAAAUACAAUGUACUGAUAUUAUUCAGUGGGUUUGAAACAGUCACAACCUGAGAAACU